UACGUAGGGUGCGAGCGUUGUCCGGAAUUAUUGGGCGUAAAGGGCUCGUAGGCGGUCUGUUGCGUCAGGAGUGAAAACUCGGGGCUUAACCCCGAGCCUGCUUCUGAUACGGGCAGACUAGAGGUAUGCAGGGGAGAACGGAAUUCCUGGUGUAGCGGUGAAAUGCGCAGAUAUCAGGAGGAACACCAACGGCGAAGGCAGCUCUCUGGGACGUUACUGACGCUGAGACGCGAAAGCGUGGGGAGCAAACAGG
rnacentral:rRNA from 1 species